UACGUAGGGGGCGAGCGUUGUCCGGAUUCAUUGGGCGUAAAGAGCUCGUAGGCGGUUCAGUAAGUCGGGUGUGAAAUCUCCGUGCUCAACACGGAGCGGCCACCUGAUACUGCUGUGACUCGAGUCCGGUAGGGGAGUGUGGAAUUCCCGGUGUAGCGGUGAAAUGCGCAGAUAUCGGGAGGAACACCAGUAGCGAAGGCGGCACUCGUGGGCCGUGAC
rnacentral:rRNA from 1 species